CCUUUUUGUAACAAAAAGUGAAAAUUGUGGUAUAAUAGGAGUCUUAUUGGGUCAAAUUGUAAUUUUUCUGCAGGAAUGGUCCACCAACUUCUUUCUGAGAGAGUGAGGUAGUUUUAUUCUCCUGCGGAAAGUAAACAGACGGAAUCCCUUCAAAAACUUGCAAGCGAUCACCUGAUUUAUCAAGAACGAAAAAAUUAAAAAUUAAUCGAAAAAUAAAAAACAAAUUGUGCUUACGUUUAAAUUAAAAAUGUUUCUUGCCGAAAUAUGCAGAAGAAUUGCAAAUAUUUGCACAAAGAAAUUUGCAAGUUCUCAGAAAACAACUCUCUCGAACGGCGCUCUUUUGCAGAACUUUUGUGUUAACAGACGACUUCCAGUAACAAUUUGCAACAAUUGUUACAAAUUUUAGGGUAACCAGACACACCUAAUAUGUCUUUUGACAGCAAACUUGUCAGAUGGGCUUACUGGCCGACCUUUAGGCCAUGUUUGUUGCCAACAAUUUUUAAACAUUACGAAACUGCCAUGGUAGAAUAAUACAGAUAGUCGCAUCGACACAGCUGAUGGGACAAAAAAACUGUCAAACCAAUUUUGGUAUUUAAAAUUUUGAAUGAAAAAUUAUUGAAAUGUGUAAAAUCUGUUGAAAAAUGAAUAUCAUGACAACCUCCGUUUGGUUCGUCGUAUAAGAGAACAUAUAAAAAUUUACUUAUUUUCGACAAAACAUAUUUGACAGAUCAACGCGUCCUAGCGUUGUUGCAUUUACCAGUAUUCUUCUACCAUGGAAUCUGCAAACUUAAUGUAAUGGACUUUCCGAAUCAAAGGCUAUUUCAUUGUUAAAAUCUAUGGUGUUUUUUAAACGAAAGGCGAUGUCGAGUUUAAAUUUUUUGCUAUGAAGCAUGAUACAACAAAAAGUUGUCGGCCGCCCUCGAUGAUUGUUUGUACGAAAUAAACUGAACACAAUCUGUUAUCGUCCUCUGUUUUUAAUAACAAACAUCAGCGUCGUCGGAAUAUUGUACAGUGCUCUAUGGCAUACAGUUUGCUCGUUCGUUCGUCUGUCGUAGCUAGACAGUUGAUAUACAGUCAGCCGACUGUUACCGACGCCGCAUCAAAUUGUUAGCGCGUCAUGCAUAAAGCAACCACAUGUCUGUGUGUGUGCUUGCAAAUGUAAUCUUCGUAUUAUAUGUUUGGAGAGCGGAGUGUGUAAGGAGAGUAGUAUUUAGUAAAUACAGUAAAGGCUCGAUAAUAUGAAAUUAUGACGUUUGGUUUCUUGAUGUGAAGAACAAGUCUUAAACAUGGGUCAUUUAAUUAAUGAUGUAAGAUAAACAACUUAUUAUAAAAUUAUUUAUUCGUAAAUCUAUUGUAUAUUCACAAGUCAGAGAGGGGAAGCUUUCAUCAAAUUAGUUAAAUUUGAUAAAAUGAGCUACAGAUAUUAUUACUUGAAAUGAGUUACCUUGAAAAAAUUGUACCAUGUUACUUACCUUGCGUGUUUAGGUAAACCCAUGAUAAAAUUAAGUAGAUAAUGUAAUUUCAAAUAAGCAUUCCCAUCGUUGCUUUGUUCUAGCUUAUGUAAUUGUGCCAUGCUAAUACAUACAGGGUGAGAUAAAAAAGUGCAACA